UAAUCUUGCUGUCCUUUUACUACCAAAGCACCUUUAACUGUCUCAAGCAAUCAAGUGAUGUUACCUACAGCAGGGAAAGGAAGGAGAAGACGGCCUCCCAUUCUCCAGCUGAAGCGCUGAUUUUAAUCAAGAUUUAAUCAAGGAGCAGAAGAAUGGACUCCCCCAAACUGCUCACCGUGCAGACUUGAUCUAAGCAUGGACACUGUUCUCUCCGAUUGCCUUAAAGAUGCAGCUAAGACCAGUCAGUGGUGUUGGCCAAAGAUAUAGUGGAAGUUUGGCAUGUAUAGAAGUGGGUACUGAGAAUGAUCUACUCUUCCACUGUGGUUGUCACUCCAAGAGCUCACAAACCCUAAAGCCAACUCCAGAGUCCCUGCCUUACUCUCAGGUGGCUCCAGUGUAAUGGGCCUAAGUCACUCCCAGUGUUCCUCCGCACCAGUCUACUCUCCCUUGGAAAUGCACAACGUGUCUCAAAUGUUUUCCUACCAGUGAAGGAAUGUAUUUUCUGAAGAAGACCCAAAAGGAAAAUGUUCAUGGGUAUAGCUCAUCUAGAGAAACAUUGACCAGUUUCAGCAGAAAAGAUAGCACAGAAAGAAGAUGGCAUCUGACUUCAACAUUUAGCUGACGUUUGACAACGGAUGAAGACACCACUGAUUAGCACGGCAUCAAUUUACAUCUGUUCCCAUGAUCAUGAUGAGGGCAUUGUCCUCCUCUUAGACGGAGUCCAGUGUGUGAAGGGAAUGUGUCCUUCCCCCACCUCGACCUGCCUCAACGCUUUCAAUGCUGCUAUUUGUAUCCAUUUUAUAAUAGAACAUUCUGGUUUCAUUAAUGGACAAACCCAGAGCCAGACCAUGGCUUGCACUAGAUUGAGCUAGACUGGAGCAAAAUCUGAAGAGCAAUCUUAGGGGACUAGAUGUCAAGCGCCUCUGGUCCCCGGGUUCAGCUCCCCACUGAAUGUGACGGAGGAAAGUCGACUUCUUUGUGUCUGUCUCAGUUUUCCCAGCUGUUAAAUAGGCACAAUAUCUGCUCCCUCCACAUCAUAGGAGUGUCUUGAGAAUCAAAUCAUAUUCCAGUAUUUUGUUAACUGUUAUUGCUAUGUCCAUGAGAGACAAUGGGAGGUCUUUUAGUAAACCCAAAACGCAUCCAGAGAAUCAUAUAACUUAUAAGGAUCUAUAUUUUGGGGUUUGUCAUUUUAUCAUCCAACAAAUAUUUCCUGAGGUCCUAUUCAAUGCAAGGCACAAUCCUCAGGGCUGUGGGAAAAAAUAUGAUGCCUGCCCUGGAGGGGUUAUAAACAAAGUGAGCGAGAAGGCACGCCCAUAUAAAAAGAUGACUGGAGACAGAGCCCAUAUCUAAAUACCAAAUGGGAGAUGGUAUUAUAACCCAGGGAUUGGGGGUGCAGGCAUGGGCAUCACAUUUUCUGGGUCUGAAGCCCGGCUCUGUCACUGACUAACCAUGUGUCCUUGGGCAAGUUACUUAACCUCUCUAUGCCUCAGUUUCCUCAUCUGUGAAAUGGGGAUAAGAAUAGCACCUACCUUAUAAGCUUAUUGUGAGGAAUAAAUGUAUUACUAUAUCAAUAAUUCUCAGAACAGUGCCUGGCACAUACAUAGGACACACUUAAUGAAUGUUUGCUGAACAUAAAGAUACCUUGUGGUACAACAACCAAGAGGGAGAGAGAGCACUAAAGAUUACGGUCAAGUGGCUCUGGUGUCCUGAUCUGGGGGUGGAAGGUUGGGAAGGGCCAGCGGAGGUGGAGUGAAGGGAUGAGGGAUUAGACAGGAGAGGAUUCCAGACAGGUCAAACGGCCUGCACAAAGGCUCACAGCCAGGUUCGCAUGAGGCACAUUUGGGGUAGAAUGAAGAGAAGGGUCAGAGUUUCCUAGUGGAAACAGUGGGGGCAGGGCGGGGGUGGGGGCGCUGUAAGUAGGGAUCUAGGUGGGAUAGCUCAUCUCCGCCUGCAUCUCCGGGGCCAAAAGCUGGAGUGAGUAAAGGGGCCGUAUUUCAAAGCUGCCAGCAAAGUCUCUUUCUCUACAGACAAUGGCUUGAAUGUACCUUUGAAAGUGUAUUGCUUUUGAGUUUUGGAGGGAGAAACAGAGCACUUUAAUGAGCUUUUGGUCCUACAAAGAUAAAUCUAAAUACACCAUUUCUGAAAGUGUUCCUUCACAAUGACAUGCUAAACUGCUUUGCACGAUAACCUUAAGGCCAUCCCAUCAGGCUUGCACGAAAUUCCCAGGAUUCUACCCACAGACACCUAGAGAGGAACGGGGAGAGAAAAGGACACAGGGAGAGAGAGAAAAACUAGCUAGAAAGCGUGGACACUUCUGCCUCAGGAGCAGGGUAUGCCUGCCUGAACUCCAGCUCUAGCAGCAAGAUAGACCCUCAGGACACCAAGCCUCCUAAAGAUCAUCCCAGAAGGAUGGAACCAGGGAAGCCAGACAUUUAGCCUCAAGCCAUUUAAUUGGAAUCGUAAAAAGAGACACAGUUUUAUAUCACACCUCUAAGCUGGUAAAGUAGGUUGUGUCCAUUUGGGGCACUACGAACCUUCUCUCAGAUUAUUUAAGAUGGGUAUGAGAAGCACGUAAUCUUUAGGGAAUGCCAGGCACUGUUUCAGAUUCUUACACAUGUCAUUCAUUGAAGUCUCCCAUGUAAUUAUGAGGUAGGUAUUUCCGAGAGGGAACUGAGGCACAAGGAAGUAACAUAACUUUCUCCAGCUUUGACAACCAUUAAGUGGUGAGGCCAGAAUUCGGCCCCAGCCAUGCUCUGAACUUCUCAAUCACUUGCUCUCUUCCUGACACCCCAAAGCUGGCAGCCUUGCUCCCCUGAGCGUUCGAGGGCAUUUCAUGAAGGAAGCCCUCAACAGAGCUGGAGGUGAGAGAGAACAGCACGCUGUCUGCUCCGCAGCACUUCUCUCCGGGACCAGCUUUCUCUGUAUCUUCCACUGUAAUUUAGUUAAUAUACUUAAUAAUCUCACCAAAUGAGGCUAAAUCUGUUUUUGGCACCUAACCAAACCUAAGACUGUAAACCACCUGUCAACACCCUCACUGGAGCUUGUCUGGAUGCCCACAGGAGAGGAAAUCCGGGCUUAGGAGUGUGGCCCUGCUGCGCAGACAGAGCUCAGAACGCCAACUCUCCCGUUCCUCCUGGCCUGGCUCGUUCUGCCUAGAACUCUGAAAUACAGCUCCCUACCCGCUUUGGGCUCUGCGUGUAUAUUGCUAUUAUCAGUUACCAGCAGUAUUUGAUGUCGCUACAGCACCUCAUAUUUGCAAGUCCCCUCCUUCGGGUGUUUGUGCACGGCUGGUCUUCACAGCCACAGCUCUGCACUGACACCACCCGCCCAGAAUUAUUCUUAGGGGGUAAAUGAUUUGCUUACGGCAAUUGCAGAGGGAUGUGCUGGAGAAUGCAAGAUGAGAGACAGGAGACGAAGGACGCCACGGCCUAGCUGUUUAGGGGAGUCCAGUGAAAAGAGCAGAGAACUGGCAGCUUGAUUUUACUUGUUUCCAUUUAUGAUCAUAAAAGUAUUAUUAUUAAUGAGGCUGUUUUACAUUUUACAGCUCCUUUUCAGCUGGAGAGAUUCCCAAAAGGUUUUGCGAACUCUGCUUGCGGCUUCACUGUGAUCGUGUGGCCAUUGCUUGUUCUUGCCUCUCGAGGAGCCUCUUACUCACACAGAGGCAGGGACAGUAGCAAUAAUCAGUAGAUAAAGCCACAAGUUAGACACUAAAGUUUUGCCCCCAACCCUGCCUAGUGUUAAAAAGGGGCUCCUCUUUGCCCCCACGAUCCAUUCCAUUUUCCAGGCAGGAAAAGGUGGUGGCAGCUCAGCAUCCAUUGGUGAGGGCUGAGUUCCCGCCCACUUGUACCACCGGGGACAAUUAGAGCAAAAUGAGACCGCAAACAUCAAUAGGGGAAAGGCUGCAACAAACUUCAGCUAGAAAUCUGAAGAUGUGCUCCUCUUUGUAACAGUGAAAUAUAGAUUUUAAUGCCCUAAAGACACUAAAACUGUAAUGCCAACUCUAAGCGUGUGAAACACAAAAGAAACACGGGGUAAGGUCCUAAAGUAUUCGAUUUAGAGGAAAUGAGCAGAAAGUUGAAAUAGAAAAGCACAGACAUGUGUGGUGUGAAAGCAGAAAAGUCUCGAGGCUAAUAGCCGCAUUAACAACUCUGAGCCAGCGUCAAAUUCUGAAGUCCCCGGGCCCCACGCCCCAGAAGCCCAAGUAGCUUGCUGAGUGUGCUGUCUUCGGGGCCUGCUUCCCAUUUGUUAUUAAGCCCAGCUCUCUGUGGACCCAGAAUCCAUUUCUUAAGAAUCAUGAUCAUCUGCUUGAAUUAGAAGGAGAUUGUUACUUACCUUGAAAUUCUAAAUGCUGUAUUUGGUACUAGCUUUUGUCAGCUGCCAGAGGAAAAGUUCAAUUAAAACGAGUUUCUUUAUCCUUUCCUCCCUCUUAAAAAAAAACCAGGGGGUUAGAUUCUAUAGUUUACUUGUACAGUACUUUAUUCUUAAUUAUUUUAAUUAUUUAACAAAUACAUGUAUAGCACUUCCCAUGUGCCAGACACUGUUCUGAGUGCUUAACAAUAUCACUCAUUCAAUUGUCAUAACAACCCUAAGAGAUAGGCAUUAAUAUUUUACAGAAGAAGAAAUUUACAGAUGAGGAAACUGAGGCACAGAGAGGUUAAGUAACUUGCCUGAGGUCACACUGCUAACGAGCAGCAAAGCCAAGAUUCAAACUCAGGGAGUCUGGCUCAAGUCCCUAUUUUUACUACUAUGUUACGCUGCUUCCCUUACAUAAAUUAUGCUCACAAAUGUGGAGAGGCAGUUUUUAGCGGAACAUAAGGAAAAUAUUAUGAAAGCAAAAGACAAUGACAACUUACAAUUCAGGAAAAUGCGUGUGCCUGGACAUAUUUUUACAGGUUGCUUCCAUUAAAAUCUUAUUUUUAAAAUCAUUAUCUAAUUAACCUUAAAUUCUAAGACAUUUUUCUCUUCCAGGAAGGAGCCACACAUCCAUUGGUGGGGCUUCAUUUUUGUCUUCAUCUGCUUUAUAACUUCAAAGACGGGAGGGUGGGUGGAGGUGGGAAGGGUUUGGCCUACACAGGAGGACGGAGCACAGUGAUCAGCACUUGGGUUCAAAUCCCGGCUUUGCCGCUAUUUGUAUGACUUUGAGUAAAGUCCUUAAUCUUUCUGUGCCUCAGUUGCCUGAUCUAUAAAACGGGAAUGAUAAUAUUACCUACUCAGAGGUGGUUGUAAGAUUAAUUGAGCUAAUACACAUAAGGUGCUCGCCGCGCGUGGCCCACAGCGAGCGCUGCGUGAAAGUAGGGAAAUUGGGCGGCGGGACAGAAUGAGAAUGAGACCGCAGACCGCAGACUGAUAGGGCCAGUCUCUGCUUCCUGUUAGUUCUCUGGGGGGACUCGUGUCUGUCACCCCCAUCAAGGAGGGCAGCGGGCAGGCCUGCCCAACUUUGAGAGGUGACCCUGCAGUUUAAUUUCGGAAGCCGCCACCCCUCGCCUCGGGGACCCGACUCAGGCAGGCCAGCCCCAGCCCCAGCCCCAGCCCCAGCUCCAGCCCCAGCCGUGCCCUGGGCAUCGUGCACACUCAGUGCACACACGCUCCCCACGGGCCACCAGAGACAGGGCCGCGGCUUCAGCGGCCGGGCGUCCUGAGGGCACCCUGGCUCGGCGUGACAAGCGGCAGGGACAGACGGCCAGCGGGACCGGGUACCAGGAGGGGGCCACCCACGCUCUGCGCAUCCCUGCGGCCCGCGGCGCACCCUGCCCUUCGCGGAGCGGGGAGUCCCGCGAAGGCCUGGGCGCUGCUGCGACUCCUUCUGGUGGUCUUCUCUCCCCCGUUGCUUUGAAUUACCUGGGUCACGUCCGCUGGCUGAAGACAGUCGUGGAGUGAGACAGGGGACGCCCGUCCUCACCCCGCUGCUCUAUCACACGGCCCAGAAAACCCGUCGGCAAAAGGGAGAGUGUUUUAUUUUUCAGACUGUUGUAAACCUUUUUACACACAGACACGCACUCACACACACAGUGAUCUCCUUUUACAAAAAGACAAAACGGAGGGGACAGAUGGGGCGGACCAUAUUGUUUACAGUUUUCUUCACCUUAUUUUUUUCACUUAAAAUAUAUCUGGGGGCAGGCCUGGUGGCGUAGUCUUUGGGUUCACCGCUCAGCUUCAGUGGUCCAGGGUCCGCGGGUGACAGGGGUCCCAACAUGCACACCGCUCAUCAAGCCAUGCUGCACUGGCGUCCCACAUAAAAAAACAGAGGAUGUUAGCU